rnacentral:pre_miRNA from 1 species
AAUAAGUUUAUUUAUGAGUUUAUGUAUGUCAACCGUCUUAUUUGAAUUUUUUUAUGAUUAGUACAUUGUUAUUAAAUGAUGAAAUAUUAAUAGUAUUUUAUGCGUGACUUAUUUUUUUAAAAAAAAUCAAAUAGGACAGACGGUCAAACAUACAGAAACUCACGACUCACG